rnacentral:rRNA from 1 species
UACCAGCACCCCGAGUGGUCGGGGACGAUUAUUGGGCCUAAAGCAUCCGUAGCCGGUCAUGCAAGUCCUCCGUUAAAUCCACCUGCUUAACAGAUGGGCUGCGGAGGAUACUACAAGGCUAGGAGGCGGAAGAGGCAAGCGGUACUUAGUGGGUAGGGGUAAAAUCCUCUGAUCCAUUGAAGACCACCAGUGGCGAAGGCGGCUUGCCAAUACGCGCUCGACGGUGAGGGAUGAAAGCUGGGGGGAGCAAACCGG